AACGCGAAAGUUUCCUUUCGGGGGGCGAGUAGAGUGGCGCACGGGUGAGUAACACGUAGGUAAUCUACCUUUGGAUUGGGAAUAACAACCGGAAACGGUUGCUAAUACCGAAUAAUGCAGCGGCACCCAAUGGUGACAGUUGUUAAAGCGGGGGAUCGCAAGACCUCGCGUCUGAAGAGGAGCCUGCGGCAGAUUAGCUAGUUGGUAAGGUAACGGCUUACCAAGGCGAUGAUCUGUAGCCGGCCUGAGAGGGCGGUCGGCCACACUGACACUGACAUACGGGUCAGACUCCUACGGGAGGCAGCAGUCGGGAAUUUUGGGCAAUGGGCGAAAGCCUGACCCAGCAACGCCGCGUGAAGGAUGAAAUCCUUCGGGAUGUAAACUUCGCAAGAACGGGAAGAAUAAGUAAGAGCUAACAUCUCUUAUGAUGACGGUACUGUUUGUAAGCUCCGGCUAACUCCGUGCCAGCAGCCGCGGUAAUACGGGGGGAGCAAGCGUUGUUCGGAUUUACUGGGCGUAAAGGGCGCGUAGGCGGCCACCGCAAGUCGACUGUGAAAUCUCCGGGCUUAACCCGGAACGGUCAGCCGAUACUGCGGGGCUAGAGUGCAGAAGGGGCAACUGGAAUUCUCGGUGUAGCGGUGAAAUGCGUAGAUAUCGAGAGGAACACCUGCGGCGAAGGCGGGUUGCUGGGCUGACACUGACGCUGAUGUGCGAAAGCUAGGGGAGCGAACGGGAUUAGAUACCCCGGUAGUCCUAGCCUUAAACGAUGAAUGCUUGGUGUCUGGGGUUUUAUAGUCCCCGGGUGCCGUCGCUAACGCUUUAAGCAUUCCGCCUGGGGA
rnacentral:rRNA from 1 species